rnacentral:rRNA from 1 species
GAUGAACGCUGGCGGCGUGCCUAAUACAUGCAAGUCGAGCGAACGGACGAGAAGCUUGCUUCUCUGAUGUUAGCGGCGGACGGGUGAGUAACACGUGGAUAACCUACCUAUAAGACUGGGAUAACAUCGGGAAACCGGAGCUAAUACCGGAUGAUAUUUUGAACCGCAUGGUUCAAAAGUGAAAGACGGUCUUGCUGUCACUUAUAGAUGGAUCCGCGCUGCAUUAGCUAGUUGGUAAGGUAACGGCUUACCAAGGCAACGAUGCAUAGCCGACCUGAGAGGGUGAUCGGCCACACUGGAACUGAGACACGGUCCAGACUCCUACGGGAGGCAGCAGUAGGGAAUCUUCCGCAAUGGGCGAAAGCCUGACGGAGCAACGCCGCGUGAGUGAUGAAGGUCUUCGGAUCGUAAAACUCUGUUAUUAGGGAAGAACAUAUGUGUAAGUAACUGUGCACAUCUUGACGGUACCUAAUCAGAAAGCCACGGCUAACUACGUGCCAGCAGCCGCGGUAAUACGUAGGUGGCAAGCGUUAUCCGGAAUUAUUGGGCGUAAAGCGCGCGUAGGCGGUUUUUUAAGUCUGAUGUGAAAGCCCACGGCUCAACCGUGGAGGGUCAUUGGAAACUGGAAAACUUGAGUGCAGAAGAGGAAAGUGGAAUUCCAUGUGUAGCGGUGAAAUGCGCAGAGAUAUGGAGGAACACCAGUGGCGAAGGCGACUUUCUGGUCUGUAACUGACGCUGAUGUGCGAAAGCGUGGGGAUCAAACAGGAUUAGAUACCCUGGUAGUCCACGCCGUAAACGAUGAGUGCUAAGUGUUAGGGGGUUUCCGCCCCUUAGUGCUGCAGCUAACGCAUUAAGCACUCCGCCUGGGGAGUACGACCGCAAGGUUGAAACUCAAAGGAAUUGACGGGGACCCGCACAAGCGGUGGAGCAUGUGGUUUAAUUCGAAGCAACGCGAAGAACCUUACCAAAUCUUGACAUCCUUUGACAACUCUAGAGAUAGAGCCUUCCCCUUCGGGGGGGACAAAGUGACAGGUGGUGCAUGGUUGUCGUCAGCUCGUGUCGUGAGAUGUUGGGUUAAGUCCCGCAACGAGCGCAACCCUUAAGCUUAGUUGCCAUCAUUAAGUUGGGCACUCUAAGUUGACUGCCGGUGACAAACCGGAGGAAGGUGGGGAUGACGUCAAAUCAUCAUGCCCCUUAUGAUUUGGGCUACACACGUGCUACAAUGGACAAUACAAAGGGCAGCGAAACCGCGAGGUCAAGCAAAUCCCAUAAAGUUGUUCUCAGUUCGGAUUGUAGUCUGCAACUCGACUACAUGAAGCUGGAAUCGCUAGUAAUCGUAGAUCAGCAUGCUACGGUGAAUACGUUCCCGGGUCU